AGUGGGGAAUAUUGCACAAUGGAGGAAACUCUGAUGCAGCAACGCCGCGUGGAGGAUGACACAUUUCGGUGCGUAAACUCCUUUUAUAUGGGAAGAUAAUGACGGUACCAUAUGAAUAAGCACCGGCUAACUCCGUGCCAGCAGCCGCGGUAAUACGGAGGGUGCAAGCGUUACUCGGAAUCACUGGGCGUAAAGCGCGCGCAGGCGGCUAUUUAAGUUGGAUGUGAAAGCCUACGGCUCAACCGUAGAACUGCAUCCAAAACUAUUUAGCUAGAGUGUGGGAGAGGAAGAUGGAAUUAGUUGUGUAGGGGUAAAAUCCGUAGAGAUAACUAGGAAUACCAAAAGCGAAGGCAAUCUUCUGGAACAUUACUGACGCUGAGGCGCGAAAGCGUGGGGAGCAAACAGGAUUAGAUACCCUGGUAGUCCACGCCCUAAACGAUGAAUGUUAGUCGUCGGGUAGCUAGUCUAUUCGGUGAUGCAGCUAACGCAUUAAACAUUCCGCCUGGGGAGUACGGUCGCAAGAUUAAAACUCAAAGGAAUAGACGGGGACCCGCACAAGUGGUGGAGCAUGUGGUUUAAUUCGAAGAUACGCGAAGAACCUUACCUAGCCUUGACAUAUAUUAGAAUCCACCAGAGAUGGAGGAGUGCCUUCGGGAGCUUUUAUACAGGUGCUGCACGGCUGUCGUCAGCUCGUGUCGUGAGAUGUUGGGUUAAGUCCCGCAACGAGCGCAACCCUCGUCACUAGUUACUAACGGUUCGGCCGAGGACUCUAGUGAGACUGCCUUCGUAAGGAGGAGGAAGGUGAGGACGACGUCAAGUCAUCAUGGCCCUUACGGCUAGGGCAACACACGUGCUACAAUGGCCAGGACAGUGAGACGCGAUACCGCGAGGUGGAGCAAAUCUAUAAACCUGGUCUCAGUUCGGAUUGUAGUCUGCAACUCGACUACAUGAAGCUGGAAUCACUAGUAAUCGUAGAUCAGCUAUGCUACGGUGAAUACGU
rnacentral:rRNA from 1 species